AACGCCCGCCCCGAUCCGCCCCUCAGCAAAUAAAAGGAAAACCCUAGAUCUAGGGUUUUAAAACCCUAGUUCUAAUCUCUCGCAGUCUCACUCUCGCCGCCACCUCUCUCACUCUCGCAAGUCUCGCCGCUCCUCCUUCUCUCUAAGUUGCUCCCUCUCUCUCUUGCUGCUCCGCCGCUGCGUGCGAGAAUCACAGAAUCUGGGCUUAUGUUUGCCACUUGAAAGCUUUUCACUGUUCAAUCUCCCCCUUCCAGUCUCAUAGACCCAGAACACCUCCAUACCUUUCAUCGGACUGAGAUUGGGACCGACUUGGGGAAGCUUUGAAACCACAUUCAUCUGAAUCGCUUUCGUUUGUCUCUGGAAUCAUCAUCGAUCGUUGAAAAGCCUAAACAAUCAUCUAGUCGCAUUUGCCCAACAAAUUCUCAAACUGCAAAGCUCUCGGAUCCUACUCCUCCCACUGCAAGCACUGCCAACACCAAACAUGAACAUUGGAGGUUCUUCUCGGGUUGCUCAAUCCAAUUCCAUGGCCUUAACUGAGUGAAGCGACAUCAGCAGGUGCCAGCUGUACAUGGAGGGAUUGCCUUGAAGUCUUGAAAUUGAUUCUACUGGAAUCUAAUUUUAUGUAAAUGUGUAUAUAUAUAUUUAUUUAUAUAUUACUUUAUCUUUUUAGUUAUUAUUUAUGUUCCUCUAAAUGUUCUCAAAAAUAAUUCUGAAGUUAUUUGGUGGACAUUACUUGUAAUUUCUUUUUGGGAUUCUAUGAAUUCUGGUAAAUAUUAUAUGUUUAAAUGUUUUUUUU